GUAGGGAAUCUUCCACAAUGGACGCAAGUCUGAUGGAGCAACGCCGCGUGAGUGAAGAAGGUCUUCGGAUCGUAAAACUCUGUUGUUAGAGAAGAACACGAGUGAGAGUAACUGUUCAUUCGAUGACGGUAUCUAACCAGCAAGUCACGGCUAACUACGUGCCA
rnacentral:rRNA from 1 species